rnacentral:rRNA from 1 species
UACGUAGGGUGCGAGCGUUGCCCGGAUUUAUUGGCGUAAAGGGCGCGUAGGCGGCCACGCACGUCCGUUGUGAAAUCGCCCGGCUCAACUGGGCGGGGUCGGCGGAUACGGCGUGGCUGGAGCAAGCUAGGGGGCAAUGGAAUUCCCGGUGUAGUGGUGGAAUGCGUAGAUAUCGGGAGGAACACCAGUGGCGAAGGCGGUUGCCUGGAGCUUUGCUGACGCUGAGGCGCGAAAGCGUGGGGAGCGAUCCGG